rnacentral:rRNA from 1 species
UACGUAGGUGACAAGCGUUGUCCGGAUUUAUUGGGCGUAAAGCGAGCGCAGGCGGUCCGGUAAGUCUGAUGUGAAAGCCCACGGCUCAACCGUGGAACGGCAUUGGAAACUGGCGGACUUGAAUGUAGCAGAGGAAAGUGGAAUUCCAUGUGUAGCGGUGGAAUGCGUAGAUAUAUGGAGGAACACCAGUGGCGAAAGCGACUUUCUGGGCUAUGAUUGACGCUGAGGCUCGAAAGCGUGGGGAGCGAACAGG